rnacentral:rRNA from 1 species
GUGGGGGAUAUUGCACAAUGGAGGAAACUCUGAUGCAGCGACGCCGCGUGAGUGAAGAAGUAUUUCGGUAUGUAAAGCUCUAUCAGCAGGGAAGAUAAUGACAGUACCUGACUAAGAAGCCCCGGCUAACUACGUGCCAGCAGCCGCGGUAAUACGUAGGGGGCAAGCGUUAUCCGGAUUUACUGGGUGUAAAGGGAGCGUAGACGGAACGGCAAGUUUGAAGUGAAAUACCCGGGCUUAACCCGGGAACUGCUUUGAAAACUGUCGAUCUAGAGUGUCGGAGAGGUAAGUGGAAUUCCUGGUGUAGUAGUGAAAUGCGUAGAUAUCAGGAAGAACACCGGAGGCGAAGGCGGCUUACUGGACGAUAACUGACGUUGAGGCUCGAAAGCGUGGGGAGCAAACAGGAUUAGAAACCCUAGUAGUCC